rnacentral:rRNA from 1 species
GACGAACGCUGGCGGCGUGCCUAAUACAUGCAAGUCGAGCGGAGAAAUGGGAGCUUGCUCCCAUUUCUAGCGGCGGACGGGUGAGUAACACGUGGGCAACCUGCCCUGCAGACUGGGAUAACUCCGGGAAACCGGAGCUAAUACCGGGUAAUACAUCGCACCGCAUGGUGCAAUGUUGAAAGUUGGCUUUCGAGCUAACACUGCAGGAUGGGCCCGCGGCGCAUUAGCUAGUUGGUAAGGUAAUGGCUUACCAAGGCGACGAUGCGUAGCCGACCUGAGAGGGUGAUCGGCCACACUGGGACUGAGACACGGCCCAGACUCCUACGGGAGGCAGCAGUAGGGAAUCUUCCGCAAUGGACGAAAGUCUGACGGAGCAACGCCGCGUGAGUGACGAAGGCCUUCGGGUCGUAAAGCUCUGUUGUUAGGGAAGAACAAGUACCGUUCGAAUAGGGCGGUACCUUGACGGUACCUAACCAGAAAGCCACGGCUAACUACGUGCCAGCAGCCGCGGUAAUACGUAGGUGGCAAGCGUUGUCCGGAAUUAUUGGGCGUAAAGCGCGCGCAGGCGGUCUUUUAAGUCUGAUGUGAAAGCCCACGGCUCAACCGUGGAGGGUCAUUGGAAACUGGGGGGACUUGAGUGCAGAAGAGGAGAGUGGAAUUCCACGUGUAGCGGUGAAAUGCGUAGAUAUGUGGAGGAACACCAGUGGCGAAGGCGGCUCUCUGGUCUGUAACUGACGCUGAGGCGCGAAAGCGUGGGGAGCRAACAGGAUUAGAUACCCUGGUAGUCCACGCCGUAAACGAUGAGUGCUAGGUGUUGGGGGGUUCCACCCUCAGUGCUGAAGUUAACACAUUAAGCACUCCGCCUGGGGAGUACGACCGCAAGGUUGAAACUCAAAGGAAUUGACGGGGGCCCGCACAAGCAGUGGAGCAUGUGG